AAACUUGUUUUUGCGGUUUUAGCGGGAAAACACGUUUUUGGCAAGAAAACGCCUUUUUGCGUAUUUUUCGGUUUUUGCGGGAAACGAAAUUUUUUGGUUUUGGCGGGAAAAUGAGAUUUUCAGCUUUGGCGGGAAAACGAGAUUUUCGGUUUUAGCAGGAAAACACGUUUUUUUUUGUUUUGGCGGGAAAACACGUUUUUUUGCAAUUUUGGCGGAAAAACGUGUUUUUGUGUUUUGGCCGAAACAUGUGUGUUUGGAGUGUUGGCGUGAAAAGAAGUUUUUUUGUGAUUUUGGCAUGAAAACAUGUUUUUCGGUUUUUGCGGAAAAACACGUUUUUGCAAUUUUGACGGGAAAACACGUUUUUGCAAUUUUGGUGGGAAAAUGCAUUUUUGAGGUUUUGGCGUAAAAAAAUAGUUUUUAGGUUUUCGCGGAAAAGCCCAUUCACAAACUUAGCCCAUAUGGAUCGCUGAUUCCUUUAAUGAAACGCUGUGUUUCGAGCAGGCGGGACACGUGUUGACUCCUCGUGAAGCGACUUUCCUAAGUGGAAUCCUAGGUGGCAGCCUCAGGAGAGAGCAAAACACUCUUUUAUAUAUAAAGAAACAGUUUGUUCUCUUCUCCUUAGGACACCUAGGAUUCCACCUAGAUAAGUCGAGCUUUGUGAGCGCGACACGUGUCCAACCAUCCCAAAAACUAGCGUUUCAUUUAAGUUACAGAUCAUAACUUUGUGACGCCUCCUCUCCUCCUCUGCCUCUCUCCUACGUGAAGUUAUUAAGCACCGUGAUGCCUCCUCUCCUACUUCGUGACAGCUCCGCUCCUCUCCGGCUAUUACGUCUCUACUCUUCCCGUCUCUCUCUCUCGCUCUCCACGUCUGUUCUUCUAUUCCCUCGGAUCUCUGCUCCAUGUCUCUCCACCAUCAGGAGAUCUCUUCUCAUGUCUCUCCAUCUCCACUACCGUUUCUAUCAAUUAAUGUUUGAAUAAUCGAAGUGUGAAGACGAACCAGAGGAUCGAUACGGUGUAGAGGAGCAGAGAGGAGUGUGGAGGAAGAGAGGAGAGGCUGUAUGGAGGAUUACCACCGUCGAAUAGACAAAUCUGGGUUUUGUUUGAGUUUUAUUAGAUCUGAAUUUUGCUCUUAGUUGAAACUCUUGAUGAAUAUUAUUUCUAUUUUUGUAGGUUUGUGAUUUGAGGAUGAUGGGUUAUAUAUAGUUUAUAUAGGCUGGAAAAAGACCAUGGUAAGGAUUUGCCAUGAAGUUUGAUUCUGAUUUUUUCUCUUUUUUUGGUAGAUGAAGUGGAUGGAAAGGAUUUGCCAUGAAAGUUGAAUCUUAUUCUGUUUACUUAAUAGCUUUCUUUAGGAGACAAACUUCGUUUUAAAUUGUAAAGUUUACGGUUUUAUCCAAUGUUUCUGACUUUAGCUGUGUAGAGAAGGAGUGAUCUUUCGAUGUGUUUUAAAGUUCAGCUUUUUAAUGUUGUUCAGGUUGAGUGAUAUGUUUUGUGGUUCACGGCAGGAGAGAGUGAUAUACAGAAAAACUGGAAAAUGGAAAGCGUAGCCAUACCAGAGCAAUUGAUCAAACUCCUCCCUGUUGCAGAGCCUGGAAUAUUUGAUCUGGUGGGUUAUGUCAUCUUCGCCGUGGAAGGAAUCCAUACCAGAGCGUCUUCUACAACGGAAACAUUGAGGUAGUUAUGCAAGGCAAAUGUGGAGAGGCAUGGACUUCGAGAAGACGGAUGUGAUGCACUUGUAAAACUGGUCACAGUCACGAUUCGAAAUGCCUAGCUUGUUGGGAGGAAGAAAAAUAUGAUUAAAAUUCUUGAAAUCAUUAUUGGCAAAUUACUCAAGGGCUAGAUAGUGUAUAGGCAAUAAUUCAAAACUGAAAGUUUGUAGGGCGUU